AUUGAACGCUGGCGGCAGGCUUAACACAUGCAAGUCGAGCGGAGAUGAGGUGCUUGCACCUUAUCUUAGCGGCGGACGGGUGAGUAAUGCUUAGGAAUCUGCCUAUUAGUGGGGGACAACAUUCCGAAAGGAAUGCUAAUACCGCAUACGUCCUACGGGAGAAAGCAGGGGAUCUUCGGACCUUGCGCUAAUAGAUGAGCCUAAGUCGGAUUAGCUAGUUGGUGGGGUAAAGGCCUACCAAGGCGACGAUCUGUAGCGGGUCUGAGAGGAUGAGCCGCCACACUGGGACUGAGACACGGCCCAGACUCCUACAGGAGGCAGCAGUGGGGAAUAUUGGACAAUGGGGGGAACCCUGAUCCAGCCAUGCCGCGUGUGUGAGGAAGGCCUUAUGGUUGUAAAGCACUUUAAGCGAGGAGGAGGCUACUGAGACUAAUACUCUUGGAUAGUGGACGUUACUCGCAGAAUAAGCACCGGCUAACUCUGUGCCAGCAGCCGCAGAA
rnacentral:rRNA from 1 species